rnacentral:rRNA from 1 species
CGUCGCGAAUAGCUCAUUACAACAGCCAUAGUUUAUUAGAUCUCAACUCACUUGGAUACCUGUGGUAACCUAAGAGCUAAUACAUGCAACUCAGUCCUGACUUUAAGGAAGGACGCAUUUAUUAGAAUAAAACCAAUCGGGCUUUGUCCGCUUUUUGGUGAAUCUGAAUAACUAUGCCGAUCGCACAGUCAUUGUACUGGCGACGUAUCUUUCAAAUGUCUGCCUUAUCAACUUUCUACGGUAGUUUACACGGCUACCGUGGUUUUCACGGGUAACGGAGAAUUAGGGUUCGACUCCUGAGAGGGAGCCUGAGAAACGGCUACCACAUCCAAGGAAGGCAGCAGGCAGCAC